ACUUUGAAAUACCGGUUCUCGUACGAUCAUCAGAGUUAAGCAACAUUGUGCCUGGUCAGCACCAAGAUGGGUUACCGCUUGGGAAUAUCUAGUGUUGUCAG